UCCAGUAUGUAACCCAAAUCCUGGAUUGCUAUAUAAUAGUUAUUGGUUGUGAUCUUAAUUUUCUUGUCUGAAACAAUGAUGAUGAUGAUGAUGAUACCUACUUCUGGAUGUUGUAACUCCAUCCAUUAAAUGGUGAUACUAAUGAAGCCUACGUCAUAGAAUUGUCUAACAUCUUUACUGUGAGAUGCAGUUUUGAUGCCAGUUGUCAGAAAAAUGUGCCCCACCUUUUUUUCCCUCUUUUAAGCAAUUUCAAGAAAUAAAUCCCUGGAAAUACAUACUUUAGAUAGACACAAUGACCAGAACUGAUACUGGUGCUUCCAUCACCAGGAAAGUAGCUGAGAGAUACUGUUACUAGUUCCUGUUUCCCAAUCACUGGCACUACUUUUGUUCCUUCCCUUUAUUGACCUUGUUCUUUGGCUUUUCCUUUGUUUUUCUCAGCUAUGCCAUAUUCCUCCAAUAAAUUCCUUUUGUUUG
rnacentral:lncRNA from 1 species